UCCCCAGACUCCUACGGGAGGCAGCAGUGGGGAAUAUUGCACAAUGGGGGAAACCCUGAUGCAACGACGCCGCGUGAGCGAUGAAGUAUUUCGGUAUGUAAAGCUCUAUCAGCAGGGAAGAAAAUGACGGUACCUGACUAAGAAGCCCCGGCUAACUACGUGCCAGCAGCCGCGGUAAUACGUAGGGGGCAAGCGUUAUCCGGAUUUACUGGGUGUAAAGGGAGCGUAGACGGCGAUGCAAGCCAGAUGUGAAAGCCCGGGGCUCAACCCCGGGACUGCAUUUGGAACUGUAUAGCUAGAGUGUCGGAGAGGCAGGCGGAAUUCCUAGUGUAGCGGUGAAAUGCGUAGAUAUUAGGAGGAACACCAGUGGCGAAGGCGGCCUGCUGGACGAUGACUGACGUUGAGGCUCGAAAGCGUGGGGAGCAAACAGGAUUAGAUACCCGGGUAC
rnacentral:rRNA from 1 species